CCCUCGCCCCUCCUCUGGCCCCGCCCGCGCCUCCUUCCGCAUUUCCCCGCGGAGCGGGAGUCGCCGGCCUCUUACUCGUGCUGGACGAACGGCACAGCCGCGGCUACUUUGUGGCGGGCUCAGGGCCCGACCUGCGGCUGCAUUAACGUCGAAAAACCGACCUUGGAGUUUGUCUACAACGCCCACCGGGGUGCAGCGGCCAGAUUGUGAGCCAGGUUGAAACUGCAAGUUCUAGCCAUUGAAGCUAGGAUGCUCUGUUGCUGGUAUUUUGACUUAUUCUACAGUUUACAGUAUACACGUGCCUAAUGUGGUCAGACUGUUUCCUAAGUUGUAGCAACCAUGUAAUUUCCCAGGAGUUAGAGGGUUGGUAUUAUACACAUGCUUUAUUUAUCCCCAGCUCUAUGACCCUGUUCUCCCAUUUACAGAGGAAGGAACUGGGGUUAGAUAGUGGCUCAUACAUGAAGAGUCUUAUGCAAGGAACGUUUGUGAUCUCUGGAAAUUCACGUAGCUCUCCUGAGAUUGAGUGUCAUAUUGUGACAGUAAAUACAUCUAAAUACAUUAGGCCAGUGUGGGGAGGAAACCACAGUAGAGUUAAGAAUGUAGGCUGUUCUUGGUAAGUAAUUAGAGCGAACCUCCAAAGAAUACAGAUUUUGCCACCAAGAGGAAUUGUUUCUCUGUACUUUGGAUGUUUUGAAUGAAUGUAGCACAAUGAGAUGUAGAAAAAUACUUAAACAGUCCAGGAUAUUCUAGAAGUUCGUUCUG